rnacentral:rRNA from 1 species
AUUGAACGCUGGCGGCAGGCCUAACACAUGCAAGUCGAACGGUAACAGGAAACAGCUUGCUGUUUCGCUGACGAGUGGCGGACGGGUGAGUAAUGUCUGGGAAACUGCCUGAUGGAGGGGGAUAACUACUGGAAACGGUAGCUAAUACCGCAUAACGUCGCAAGACCAAAGAGGGGGACCUUCGGGCCUCUUGCCAUCGGAUGUGCCCAGAUGGGAUUAGCUAGUAGGUGGGGUAACGGCUCACCUAGGCGACGAUCCCUAGCUGGUCUGAGAGGAUGACCAGCCACACUGGAACUGAGGCACGGUCCAGACUCCUACGGGAGGCAGCAGUGGGGAAUAUUGCACAAUGGGCGCAAGCCUGAUGCAGCCAUGCCGCGUGUAUGAAGAAGGCCUUCGGGUUGUAAAGUACUUUCAGCGGGGAGGAAGGGAGUAAAGUUAAUACCUUUACUCAUUGACGUUACCCGCAGAAGAAGCACCGGCUAACUCCGUG